rnacentral:rRNA from 1 species
AACGAACGCUGGCGGCAGGCUUAACACAUGCAAGUCGAGCGCCCCGCAAGGGGAGCGGCCGACGGGUGAGUAACGCGUGGGAAUCUACCCAUCCCUACGGAAUAACGCAUGGAAACGUGUGCUCAUACCGUAUACGUCCUUCGGGAGAAAGAUUUAUCGGAGAUGGAUGAGCCCGCGUUGGAUUAGCUAGUUGGUGGGGUAAAGGCCUACCAAGGCGGCGAUACAUAGCUGGUCUGAGAGGAUGAUCAGCCACACUGGGACUGAGACACGGCCCAGCCUCCUACGGGAUGCAGCAGUGGGGAAUAUUGGACAAUGAGCGCAAGCCUGAUCCAGACAUGCCGCGUGAGUGAUGAAGGCCCUAGGGUUGUAAAGCUCUUUCACCGGUGAAGAGAAUGACGGUAACCGGAGAAGAAGCCCCGGCUAACUUCGUGCCAGCCGCCGCCGUAAGAC